rnacentral:rRNA from 1 species
AGAGUUUGAUCCUGGCUCAGGAUGAACGCUGGCGGCGUGCCUAACACAUGCAAGUCGAGCGAAGCGCCUUACUUGAUUUCUUCGGGAUGAAAGUAUUGUGACUGAGCGGCGGACGGGUGAGUAACGCGUGGAUAACCUGCCUCAUACAGGGGGAUAACAGUUAGAAAUGACUGCUAAUACCGCAUAAGACCACAGCACCGCAUGGUGCAGGGGCAAAAACUCCGGUGGUAUGAGAUGGAUCCGCGUCUGAUUAGCUAGUUGGUAAGGUAACGGCUUACCAAGGCAACGAUCAGUAGCCGACCUGAGAGGGUGACCGGCCACAUUGGGACUGAGACACGGCCCAAACUCCUACGGGAGGCAGCAGUGGGGAAUAUUGCACAAUGGGGGAAACCCUGAUGCAGCGACGCCGCGUGAGCGAUGAAGUAUUUCGGUAUGUAAAGCUCUAUCAGCAGGGAAGAUAAUGACGGUACCUGACUAAGAAGCACCGGCUAAAUACGUGCCAGCAGCCGCGGUAAUACGUAUGGUGCAAGCGUUAUCCGGAUUUACUGGGUGUAAAGGGAGCGUAGACGGAUGGGCAAGUCUGAUGUGAAAACCCGGGGCUCAACCCCGGGACUGCAUUGGAAACUGUUCAUCUAGAGUGCUGGAGAGGUAAGUGGAAUUCCUAGUGUAGCGGUGAAAUGUGUAGAUAUUAGGAAGAACACCAGUGGCGAAGGCGGCUUACUGGACAGUAACUGACGUUGAGGAGCGAAAGUGUGGGGAGCAAACAGGAUUAGAUACCCUGGUAGUCCACACUGUAAACGAUGUCUACUAGUUGUUGGACCGAAUGGUUUAGUAACACAGCUAACGCGAGAAGUAGACCGCCUGGGGAGUACGGUCGCAAGAUUAAAACUCAAAGGAAUUGACGGGGACCCGCACAAGCGGUGGAUGAUGUGGAUUAAUUCGAUGCAACGCGAAAAACCUUACCUAGCCUUGACAUGCCAGGAAUCCUGAUGAAAGUUGGGAGUGCCCGCAAGGGAAUCUGGACACAGGUGCUGCAUGGCUGUCGUCAGCUCGUGUCGUGAGAUGUUGGGUUAAGUCCCGCAACGAGCGCAACCCUUGUCACUAGUUGCUACGCAAGAGCACUCUAGUGAAACUGCCGGUGACAAACCGGAGGAAGGUGGGGAUGACGUCAAGUCCUCAUGGCCCUUAUGGCUAGGGCCUCACACGUCAUACAAUGGUCGGAAACAGAGGGCAGCGAAGCCGCGAGGUGGAGCUAAUCCCAGAAAGCCGAUCGUAGUCCGGAUUGCAGUCUGCAACUCGACUGCAUGAAGUCGGAAUCGCUAGUAAUCGCGGAUCAGCAUGCCGCGGUGAAUACGUUCCCGGGUCUUGCACUCACCGCCCGUCA